rnacentral:lncRNA from 1 species
AUAAUUUGGACCGCCCGCCAAGAUGGCCCCAAGGGCAUAAGGCGAGGGUAAGUGGAUGAGGGUGUCUUUUUAAGUGUUUGGACCGAAAGUAAAUAUGUUUUUUGUUUGAUUAUCUUUUGGAAAUUGUAGAAAUAAAACAUUUUCCUUGUACAGAAGUUCCAGCUAGGCAGGCCAACAUUAGUUAGCUAAUUAAUUUACUAGCUAUCAAACAGUAGGCAUGAAUCAUGUUAUAUAUUUAAUAUAAGUAGACAUGCAAUCAUAAUUGACUGAAGCGCAUUUAAAACCACCACAAGCUACCGGUGGCUGAAAACACAAUCAUCUCGGGAUGAACGAGUGGCCAAUUUCCGGCCCAGCAGCGGUCCACUUAAAAAUCAUUCCUUCCUUGCCCUUCAAGUUUAUACUCGUCAGACAUAUGAUACUUCAUCAGAAGUGUCCACUUAAUUUGAAGGCGGAGGGUAUAGGGUGUGUCUUUGUAGUGUUUGGACUGUGAACUAGUGCCCAUAAUGAGUAUUUGGUCGGAGGUUGAGAAAUCUCAGAAAAAUUGUCUAUAUUUUCCCGUUUCUUUCUGUCACGUUGUAAAUAUUUACCCCAAAACAAACCUGGAAAUAUAGACAAUACUAUAUUGUGUAUAUAAACAUCAGUAUGGGAUAUGCAUGAAAAUAAAAAAAACAGGCAUUAUAUAUGCUAGCCAUAAAGUUGUAAGGACCCAGCCUUAUAAAUUGAACGCACCCUCGUUCCUGAGGCCUUUCUCCCGUCAAGACGCUCGCGUGAGCAGGUGAAAAAGAUGAGCGCAAAAUGAAGAACGGCAUUAAAUGUUUUUUAUGUCAGUAAAAGUACAACCAAGACGGGCUGGCGAUACGUGUUGUAAAGUCAGCGAAUGCGGUUGAGAGGUUGCCCAAGCCACAAUAAGUUUGCAAGACUGCUCUCAGCCAACAUUGAAAUGCGUAUCGCAAGCAGUCUAGGAUCGCUAUUCAAGGAAAAUGGAGGGCAGUUCCAAACAGGCUCUAGCACUUGCAUGCUCCAGAAGAGGCUUGCUUCCCACGUUCUGCCCUGUGUGAAGAAGAGAUGGCGAACUCCUACUGAGAAUGAUGGAUGGACGAUGGGUGCAUUCUGUUACAAGACUCUUAACUCUUUGAUGUCAAAUGCUACUUGGGUAAUGGGCAAAAUGGCGUCCCAAGUGGUGUGCAUCUAA